GCCGGGGUGGCGGAAUUGGCAGACGCACGGGACUUAAAAUCCCGGGAGGGCAACCUCGUGGGGGUUCGAUUCCCCCCUCCGGCA
rnacentral:tRNA from 1 species